rnacentral:lncRNA from 1 species
CGGCGCAAAAGCUAUGAUUGGCUUGCUUCAGUCCAUCAAUUGAACUUAAAAUAUAAAUACAUAAAUAAAUUAUAUAUUAUGUAUCAAUUAUUAGUUUUAUAAAAAAAUUAAUAUUUAUAUAUAUUAUCUAGUUAUUAUGAAAUAGAAUACAUUUCAACUAUAUGAUUAGAAUAUAAUUAGAAUGGUUGUUUUAAAAUAUAUAAAUGGA